GACGAACGCUGGCGGCGUGCCUAAUACAUGCAAGUCGAACGCAGUGGGGACGGGUGAGUAACACGUGGGUAACCUCCCAUCAGAGGGGAUAACACUUGGAAACAGGUGCUAAACCGAUAGUGAAGGAUGGCACCGCGGUGGAUUAGCUAGUUGGGGGGGUAAGGGCUCACCAAGGCCACGUUGCUUAGCCGACCUGAGAGUGGGAUCGGCCACCGUGGGACUGGGACACGGCCCAUACUCCGACGGGAGGCAGCAGUAGGGAAUCUUCGGCAAUGGACGAAAGUCUGACCGAGCAACGCCGCGUGAGUGAAGAAGGUUUUCGGAUCGUAAAACUCUGUUGUUAGAGAAGCGGUAUCUAACCAGAAAGCCACGGCUAACUACGUGCCAGCAGCCGCGGUAAUAC
rnacentral:rRNA from 1 species